GCGGCCAGUCUCAGUGGUUCAGAGCAGACGAGACCGGAGGUUCUGCGGCGCCGCGGUCUGGCAGCAGGCGGCAGCGCGAUUGGAGCGGCGCGAUCAACGCAGAAUAACAAUGUUCCCGGUUCAUGGCUUCCCUGGACAACAACACUUCUGUAAUCUCCUGGAUAUUGUGAGGAAGAAGGGAGGAUCUUGCAGAGAAAAGAUUCAACACACACUCAAGGCUCUGGACCAGACUAACCCCUGUAAUGCAGAAUCAACCUGAGUCUCUCAUUCCUGGAGCGGUUUAUGAACAGUGAAGAUCCAGACCAGACUCCAGAGUGAACAGGAUCUCCUGCAGUCCUCCUGAACCUCCUUCACCAGGAUCGGGGACGUGGGUGGGGGGCUGUCAUUGAGACCCUGGUGUUUCUCUUCUGGCUGCUGAGCGGAGCGUCCUGCAGGGUGGUCUCCAGAGUGUUUGGAUGUCUCGUUCCACUGUCCACUGAGGAGGUGGUGGUCCUUCACCUUCCAAAAACCCCUGAGGACCUGGAGGUGGUGUCCCGUGGGUUUGCAGGGCUGACACGGCUCAGAGCUUCAGGUUCAUGGAUGGAUCCCACAUCAGGAUCAGACCUCCUAGUGACCCUGAUGGUCACUGCUACAGAAACAGAGAACUCCUCCCUCCAUCAUCCUGCAGGCUGUGGGACCAUCGGGGCUGCUUCAUGACACCCAUGUGGGCCGGCCCGGGUCGGUGCAUGACUCCAGGGUGCUCCGCCACAGUCUACUGUACAGGCAGUCGGUCUCCCCUCCUCCGGGGGACUUCAUCCUUGCAGAUGGUGGAUACUCAUGCCUCCAACGUCCACUCCCCCAUCACUCCCUCCAAACAGGUGAAUGAAGGUGUUGCAGGCCAGAGCUUCAACAGUCAUCAUUCCAUAAACACGCUCGAUUAGAGAGUUUGCUUUUGGAAUGAUGAAGACAAGAUUCAGAGGAAUCUUCCUGCAAGUGCUGGAGGUUCAUCACACCUUUGUACCUCACAUAAGUCAACAAACACAGCAGCAUUUUAUGUUCUUUGGAAUAUAUUUCUAUUCAUUUAUAGAUUUAAUGUAUUUAUUGCAGGUUGUCACAGCUUGUGCUGUCCUGCAUAAUAUCUGCCCCUGUGCUGACGACACCGAGGCCCCAGAGGAAGAUGUGGAGGUGAUGAUGAUGAGGAGGAGGAGGAGGAGGCUGGUUUGGAGGUCAUCAGCGGUCCUCUCUGGCAGGACCAACUACCUGCUGAGGUUUCUGUCCUGGGGGAGGUACAACCAGACCUUCAUUACUGGUAACAGCAUCCGUGGACAGCCAGCCCUGCAAACUCUGAAGAUGGACGAUGCAGUCUACAGUCUCUGCAGAUCAUCCUGCAAGAUGUUCCAAUCACCACCCAGAAAGUUCCAGCUGGGGUCUCAGUUGAAGCCCCCCAUCCAUGUCAACACAUCUUUGUAAAUAGUUGGAAAUAAAAGUGUUGCAUUAAUAAUGAUUACUGUGUUGGAUUUAUACCUUUAUUUAAAUUAACAAAGCAGACAUUUGUAAUAGUGGACUUCCUACUAACCUUCUCCUGAUGCUGGAUACUUACAAUCCUGAACACAGAAUCAUCAUAGACAGCAGAAAAAAGAAGAGACAAACCUUUUUGUAACAUGCAUAUUUAACGUGUAUCAAACAUGUUAUAUUCUUCACCACACAUCAACAUACUUUGUAUUUUUUUAAGUUGUCCGACUGUUUUUUGGCCUGUAAGGGGAAACCUUUUCCAUCAGAUCCAUUUUCUCCAGGAAAAACCCAAAACAUAGAGGGAGAGAUGACAGGUUAAUCCUUCUCAAAAAUGUUUCACAUUAAAACACAAAAGACACUAAACUCUACUGCAGGGGUCACCAACUGUUCCUGCUCGAUUUACAGCUAAGCUUGUUUAAAAUACUUCUGCUCACCUGGAUCAGGUAUGUUCAAUCAAUCACAAACUGAACUAAUUCAGUCCAGCUAACCAUCAAUGACUGAAGCAGAGUUGUUACAUUUCAGAUUAAAAUAAAGUUCAAAUAAAGCCCCUGAAGUAUCGAGCACCUGUUAGACUCUGUGUUUAUAUGAGACUCCUGUCAGCUAGAGAAGACCACUACUGGAAGAUAUAUGGUACAUUCAAAACUGUCAUUAUAGAAAGUUUGAAUUGUACCUUUUAGAAGGAAGCCAUGUGGACAGACAGCUAUCUCAACACCUUCCUCAUCAAGCUUGUUGGCUUGCUUUGAUGUCUCUGGUCCAGCAGAUCAUUGUGAGUUUCCACAAGCGGCUUUUCCACCAGUCUAAUAAAAAUAAAUUAGAUAACUUGACUGCAAACUUUGAAAUUGUGCACCAUAAAAGACAAUACAUGAAAAUAUGAUGCUUUCUUUGGAUUUACAUUCAAAUUUGGACUUGCUUAACUUAUAUAGCUGUAGACUCUGGGUCAAAAGAAUCAACAUUCUCUAAAAAAAACUUGUGAAUUUACAAGUUUAAUAAAAUGUACAAACACUUUUGACAACACGGCGUACUUCAGCAACAAAAGCUUCAACCUCAGAAUCUUCUGCUAGAAAGACAGCAUCAAAAAACCCAGCCUGGUCAUCCCUGAGAAAAAGUGAAAAAGAAGAAGCUUAGUUUUAAGAAUGAUGUGGGGGGGGGAUUAAACACACCUGUUGGAAGUUUGGAAACGGUACAAUUUUCUGUUGCCAUUGAAAGAAACAACCAACUGGUCUGGAACACAAGCUGGACACACAAACCAGUCCUCCAUGCCACUUAGCUGCUCCUCCUCAAAUUUACAGUGAAUAUACUGCAAAAAGCUUCUUUGAAAGGCAUCAGAAUUCACCUUUCCUUUCUGCAACAAAGAAGGAGAAACAUUGACCUUUACAGAAAAACAUUAUCAGCACUCAUCUGGUCAAGCAUUUGUAAACAUGCAAAAUAUUGACAGGUGAUGAAAAUAAAACCUUAAAAUGUCAUGGAAAAUGAUAGAAGUGAUAAACUCACUCUUCCAAAAUAUUUAGUUCUGUGAUCCAGCAUUGAUGUGAAAGCCUGUCUGGACGAUCCUGGUGCAGUCGUCUUCAUUUCUUAAAGGACUCAAACAAGUCCUGCUGAUAAAUGGUCUGAGCCUGCAUCGUUGAAGGCCAGUACCCACUUCUGACCAAAUCAGAAACUUCUGGGGUCCAGCAAUGACCUCAGUUGUUACAUGUGACAUCUGGUGUGUGAAGCUCAAAACGACCUGAGAUGACACAUCACUAAUGUUCUAAAAUGUUAUUUUCAAAUGAAAAAAAUAUGAUUUUUACAAACCAUUCAUGGUAAUGAGGAUUAUUGGUCUGCCAGCAGAGAGUGUCACAACGCUGUCUUGGCAACAGUAACACAACAGGAAGGAAACUAGAUGUAUAGACAGAAAUAUAUUUUUAUGAAAUCUAUUAUGUGUUCUCUCUUGUGUGAUAGAAGAGUUUCAGCACAAAUGAAAGGAAAGAUGUAGAAGACUGUGGUGAGAGCAGCCAUGUUGUUGGACUAGAAACAGUGAAGAAAAGACAGGAAGCAGAGCUGGAGGUAGCAGAGAUGAAGAUGCUGAGGUUCUCUUUGGGAGUGACCAGGAUGGAUAGGAUCAGGAAUGAAUCCAUCAGAGGGACAGCACAUGUUAGAGGUUUUGGAGAUAAACCCUUCUCACUGCAUGAGAAACCUGGGCGUUCUUUUAGACUCUGAGCUGAAUUUUAUCCCUCACAUCAAAAAUGUCAUUAAGACAGGAUUUUAUCAUCUUAAAAACAUUGCCAGAGUCCGUCCAUUCCUCUCUCUCCAGCACAGAGGUGCUGAUGCUUUUAUUUUUAGUCGUUUAGAUUAUUGUAAUGCCCUGCUCUCUGGUUUACCUCAAAAGUCUCUUUCAAAUUUACAAUUAUUACAGAACUCAGCGGCACGAGUUCUGACGAGGACCAGGGGGC
ensembl:lncRNA